rnacentral:rRNA from 1 species
UAAGACGGACCACACAAACGUUAUUCGGAAUUACUGGGCUUAAAGGGUGCGUAGGCUGUGCAGAAAGUUGGGUGUGAAAUCCCUCGGCUUAACCGAGGAACUGCGCCCAAAACUACUGUGCUGGAGGGAGACAGAGGUGAGCGGAACUUAGGGUGGAGCGGUGAAAUGCGUUGAUAUCCUAAGGAACACCGGUGGCGAAAGCGGCUCACUGGGUCUCUUCUGACGCUGAUGCACGAAAGCUAGGGUAGCGAACGGGAUUAGAUACCCCGGUAGUCCUAGCCGUAAACGAUGAGCACUGGAUUGGAGGGUCCUCCAUAGCCUUCCAGUCGUAGCGAAAGUGUUAAGUGCUCCGCCUGGGGAGUAUGGUCGCAAGGCUG